rnacentral:rRNA from 1 species
GUGGGGAAUUUUGGACAAUGGGCGAAAGCCUGAUCCAGCCAUUCCGCGUGAGUGAAGAAGGCCUUCGGGUUGUAAAGCUCUUUCGGCAGGAACGAAAAGGUUUCGGCGAAUACCUGGAACUGAUGACGGUACCUGAAGAAGAAGCACCGGCUAACUACGUGCCAGCAGCCGCGGUAAUACGUAGGGUGCGAGCGUUAAUCGGAAUUACUGGGCGUAAAGCGUGCGCAGGUGGUUGUUUAAGACAGAUGUGAAAUCCCCGGGCUCAACCUGGGAACUGCGUUUGUGACUGGACAGCUAGAGUAUGGCAGAGGGGGGUGGAAUUCCACGUGUAGCAGUGAAAUGCGUAGAGAUGUGGAGGAACACCGAUGGCGAAGGCAGCCCCCUGGGCCAAUACUGACGCUCAUGCACGAAAGCGUGGGGAGCAAACAGGAUUAGAAACCCCAGUAGUCC